AGUGAACGCUGGCGGUAGGCCUAACACAUGCAAGUCGAACGGCAGCACAGUAAGAGCUUGCUCUUACGGGUGGCGAGUGGCGGACGGGUGAGGAAUACAUCGGAAUCUACUUUUUCGUGGGGGAUAACGUAGGGAAACUUACGCUAAUACCGCAUACGACCUACGGGUGAAAGCAGGGGAUCUUCGGACCUUGCGCGAUUGAAUGAGCCGAUGUCGGAUUAGCUAGUUGGCGGGGUAAAGGCCCACCAAGGCGACGAUCCGUAGCUGGUCUGAGAGGAUGAUCAGCCACACUGGAACUGGGACACGGUCCAGACUCCUAAGGGAGGCAGCAGUGGGGAAUAUUGGACAAUGGGCGGAAGCCUGAUCCAGCCAUACCGCGUGGGUGAAGAAAGCCUUCGGGUUGUAAAGCCCUUUUGUUGGGAAAGAAAAGCAGCAGGUUAAUACCCCGCUGUUCUGACGGUACCCAAAGAAUAAGCACCGGCUAACUUCGUG
rnacentral:rRNA from 1 species